rnacentral:rRNA from 1 species
UACGUAGGGGGCAAGCGUUGUCCGGAAUCAUUGGGCGUAAAGAGCGUGUAGGCGGCCCGAUAAGUCCGCCGUGAAAGCCCAGGGCUCAACCCUGGGAUGCCGGUGGAUACUGUCGGGCUAGAGUUCGGAAGAGGCAAGUGGAAUUCCUGGUGUAGCGGUGAAAUGCGCAGAUAUCAGGAGGAACACCGAUUGCGAAGGCAGCUCGCUGGGACGUCACUGACGCUGAGACGCGAAAGCGUGGGGAGCAAACAGG